CGGCACUGUACUCUGCUUGAAUACCUUCUAUGGCGGGUAGGCGUUACCUAGAGACAGCCAAUCAAACAAAAAACAAGGGGUACAAGGCACCAUCUGGCGCUGGCAACUGAUACCUCAUUGGAAAAAAAACCUAAAUAACUAUAACCAGCAACUUGGUCUCCGCGAGACGGUCUCGAUCCACAGAUUUUUUAACUUGAAUUAAAUCUUUUUCACCAAAUAACUUAAAGUAAGUAAAAGCCUUCGAGACCGUCUCGCGGAGACCAAGUUGAUAACCAGUGUGUCCAGUCCACUAGGGCUCGGCCCCGAUUACCGGCAGUAAAAGUUUGGGAUAUUAGGAUACUGCUCUCGCGUCAAUCUGGCUCAUGUAUCUUAUGUAAAGAAAAGAAAUAAGAGUCCAAACGUCCCUUGCAUGGAUGUCCAUUUGUUUCUGGCCCGGGAGUCCUUUUGUCGCUGGCAUAGGAGCCCACUUAUCGCAUAGUGUAGGAAUCGCUGGGUUCAGCAACAUUUCGUUGCAGCGGCAAAACAUCGGGAACCAAUAGUCCAAACGUCGCUAGGCAGAUGUCCUACGUACCGUCGCGAACCACUCGUCCAAGUGUCGAGGGCCAAAAGUCCAAGAGUCGGAAUCUCAGAAACCUUUGAGUCCUUUUGGCAACUAGCCAAAAAGACUUUGUCCCUAAUUUAGCGCUGCUGCAGGAAGGACAGUAUGUUGGCGCAAAAUUGCCUUUGCUGUUUUACGAAAUCUAUAAUUUGGAUACGUCUCAGAAUUUUAUGAAACUAAGCAUUCUAGGUACAAUUCAACAAAGAUAAGUUUUUAUUAGUGUUCUUUGUUUGUUUAUAAUACGCGCAGUUUAUGAUUUUGGUUUCACCUGAAUUACAAUGAGACAAAUAUAGACUGAUCAUCAA